CUACGGGAGGCUGCAGUGAGGAAUAUUGCACAAUGGGGGGAACCCUGAUGCAGCAACGCCGCGUGGAGGAUGACGCAUUUCGGUGUGUAAACUCCUUCUAUAUGUCAAGAAAAUGACGGUAGCAUAUGAAUAAGCACCGGCUAACUCCGUGCCAGCAGCCGCGGUAAUACGGAGGGUGCAAGCGUUACUCGGAAUCACUGGGCGUAAAGGACGCGUAGGCGGGUUGGGAAGUCAGGUGUGAAAUCCUACAGCUUAACUGUAGAACUGCACUUGAAACUUCUAAUCUAGAGUAUGGGAGGGGGAGAUGGAAUUAGUGGUGUAGGGGUAAUAGCCGUAGAUAUCACUAGGAAUACCUAAAGCGAAGGCGAUCUCCUGGAACAUUACUGACGCUAAGGCGUGAAAGCGUGGGGAGCAAACAGGAUUAGAUACCCCUGUAGUC
rnacentral:rRNA from 1 species